ACCUCUUCACUGUCUUUUGACUAAAAUCAAGCGCAGGCUCUAUUCUCAUCAGUUCAUUUUCUAAUACAUCCUACAUCCAAGGGCAGUGUAUUAAAUGCGCCUUUUGAGCAUGAAGUCACAAUGAGAGCAUGCUCUGUCUGUUCCGUGCACCAACUGGCAUUGUACUACAAGCAGAAACGGGUCAGUUUCU